GAUGAACGCUGGCGGCGUGCCUAAUACAUGCAAGUCGAGCGAACAGACGAGGAGCUUGCUCCUCUGACGUUAGCGGCGGACGGGUGAGUAACACGUGGAUAACCUACCUAUAAGACUGGGAUAACUUCGGGAAACCGGAGCUAAUACCGGAUAAUAUAUUGAACCGCAUGGUUCAAUAGUGAAAGACGGUUUUGCUGUCACUUAUAGAUGGAUCCGCGCCGCAUUAGCUAGUUGGUAAGGUAACGGCUUACCAAGGCGACGAUGCGUAGCCGACCUGAGAGGGUGAUCGGCCACACUGGAACUGAGACACGGUCCAGACUCCUACGGGAGGCAGCAGUAGGGAAUCUUCCGCAAUGGGCGAAAGCUUGACGGAGCAACGCCGCGUGAGUGAUGAAGGUCUUCGGAUCGUAAAACUCUGUUAUUAGGGAAGAACAAAUGUGUAAGUAACUAUGCACAUCUUGACGGUACCUAAUCAGAAAGCCACGGCUAACUACGUG
rnacentral:rRNA from 1 species